rnacentral:rRNA from 1 species
CAGUCGCCGCGGUAAUACGGAGGGUGCAAGCGUUAAUCGGAAUUACUGGGCGUAAAGCGCACGCAGGCGGUCUGACAAGUCAGAUGUGAAAUCCCCGGGCUUAACCUGGGAACUGCAUUUGAAACUGUCAGGCUGGAGUCUUGUAGAGGGGGGUAGAAUUCCAGGUGUAGCGGUGAAAUGCGUAGAGAUCUGGAGGAAUACCGGUGGCGAAGGCGGCCCCCUGGACAAAGACUGACGCUUAGGUGCGAAAGCGUGGGGAGCAAACAGGAUUAGAUACCCGAGUAGUCCCUGUCUCUUAUAA